rnacentral:tRNA from 1 species
AUAAAAGUAAUAUAAAUAUUAUAUUAAAUUGCAAAUUUAAUCAUGCUCAUGCCUUUUAUU